rnacentral:rRNA from 1 species
GAUGAACGCUAGCUACAGGCUUAACACAUGCAAGUCGAGGGGCAGCAUGAACUUAGCUUGCUAAGUUUGAUGGCGACCGGCGCACGGGUGAGUAACGCGUAUCCAACCUACCCUUGUCCAUCGGAUAACCCGUCGAAAGGCGGCCUAACACGAUAUGCGGUUCACCGCAGGCAUCUAAGGUGAACGAAAUGUGAAGGAGAAGGAUGGGGAUGCGUCUGAUUAGCUUGUUGGCGGGGUAACGGCCCACCAAGGCGACGAUCAGUAGGGGUUCUGAGAGGAAGGUCCCCCANAUUGGAACUGAGACACGGUCCAAACUCCCUACGGGAGGCAGCAGUGAGGAAUAUUGGUCAAUGGACGGGAGUCUGGAACCAGCCAAGUAGCGUGCAGGAUGACGGCCCUAGU